rnacentral:rRNA from 1 species
AGAUUGAACGCUAGCGGCAUGCCUAACACAUGCAAGUCGAACGGUAACAGGCCCUUCGGGGUGCUGACGAGUGGCGGACGGGUGAGUAAUGCGUAGGAAUCUACCCACGAGUGGGGGAUAGCCCGGAGAAAUCCGGAUUAAUACCGCAUACGACCGAGAGGUGAAAGCGGGGGAUCGUAAGACCUCGCGCUGGUGGAUGAGCCUACGUCCGAUUAGUUAGUUGGUGGGGUAACGGCCUACCAAGGCGACGAUCGGUAGCUGGUCUGAGAGGAUGAUCAGCCACACUGGGACUGAGACACGGCCCAGACUCCUACGGGCGGCAGC